UACGAGGGGGGCAAGCGUUGUUCGGAAUUAUUGGGCGUAAAGGGUGCGUAGGCGGUUUGGUAUGUCUUAUGUGAAAUCUACAGGCUCAACUUGUAGUCUGCAUGAGAAACUGCCGGGCUUGAGUAUGGGAGAGGUGAGUGGAAUUCCUGGUGUAGCGGUGAAAUGCGUAGAUAUCAGGAGGAACACCUGUGGCGAAAGCGGCUCACUGGACCAUAACUGACGCUGAUGCACGAAAGCUAGGGGAGCAAACAGG
rnacentral:rRNA from 1 species